CCUAGACGAAGGAAAAAAAUACAUUACUGAAUUGUAUCUCUACAGCUUUCUUUCUUCUACUUCAACAUGCAAACAAACUCCACUGCGAUGUUUCUGUUUUGGGUUCCCUGUGUGCUCUGCAGGGAAAUCCUUCCUGUCACAUCACAGGACCUUGGUCCCGAUCCUCAGGAAGCGUAAUGGAGUUACCACCAGCCUACGUCAGGUGGGAUCUCAUUCCAGGAACAAGGGGAGAAGGAUUAGAGACCUGAGAGGAGGUAGCAGCUGUUCCUGGCUACGGCCAGACUAACCUGAAUAAAGGAGAUGAAACUCUCAUCUCUGUUGCAAGGUAUUUCAGUAUUCCCAACACUUAACUUUCAAUCCAAAGUAAUCAUACAAGUUACCCAGAGAACCCACUCGCUGUCUCAGAGAUCAUCUUAAUUUUUCCUCAAUUUCUGCCAACAAUCGCUUUUAAGGCUGCACACCUGGGGCCCUGCACAGGUGCUCUAACCAAGGCCAGGGAAGAAAAACUGAGCAAUUACCCGGUCACUUAUGAUCUCAGAGAGCCCCCUACAGAACAGGGGGAAUUAGAACAGAACUUCAGAUCUUGGGUUUCUUUUUCUUUAUGAACUCAAAAUUCUUCCACAUCAUUUAAUUGGAACUUUUAAGAUACUCUGUUAAAACUGGUAGAGAUGGGUGUAAUUAUAUCCAUUUUAAGAAAAUAAACAGAAAGGCACAGAAAGUCUCAUGACUCACUGGAACAGCGCAUAGUCAGCAAACAAGUCACGAGGGCAUUCUGACCCCCAAAUCACAAGGUCACAGGAUUAUAGGAUUAACCAGAGAACACACACAAGUGAUCACUGUAGCUCCUGCCAUCCUAGGAUGUUAUCAAUUUAGAGAGACAGGAAGCUCUGUUUCCUCUGCAAGCCAGAGUGGAAGUACCCACAGGAAAUGUACACGGGUACCUCCUCCAACCAAAUUUCUAAACCCAACGGUAGUUCAUUUGCUCAGGCAUGUCUCUAUCUCUUCUUCAAUUGUAAGCACCUCUAGAAUGCAGUGUCUCCCUAUAGCUCUGCAUAGCCACUCCCCCAGGUGUUUUUCAAUCCUGGCUGUAGAUUCAAAUCACGUGACACUUAGCCUCACCCAGAGACUUUGAUCUAAUCUGUUUGGGGAGAUGCCUGGGCAUAUGCAAUCCUUUAGAGACUCACGUAAACGAGAUGAUUGUUAAUAUGCAGCCAAACUUGAGUCCAACACCAGAGCUUUGGAUAUGAUGAGAACACAAAAUAUGUUUGGCUGAUGCGGUCUGGGAUCCCCACUGUACCCCAGUGUGCAACAUAGGUAAGUGCUAUGGAAUCCACACGGGCCCUAAUCAUUAUUGAAAAACAAAACAAAACAAAACAGGGGACCAAGCCUCAACAGUUCUGCUGGAAACAAAUGAAGAAUGGAAUGACUCUGAAAUCCUGGGCGCCGUUCCUCUCAAGUAUUGGCUUCUGGAAGACACAGCAACAGAAUAUCCCCAACCCGUAUCUGCAUGGCUUGAGCAAAAUGACAAUCUCCCUAAAAAGGCCCACAGUAAGGGACUCAGCCAUUACAACCACUGGAAGGGAGACUGUUUCUCUGUCUUCAGAAGCUUCCCCAGUCCUCCCAAUUCCCAACUCUGUGUGGGUAAUUCUCUGCUGCCAUUAUCCACGAAGUUGGAUCUGGAUGGAUUCCCGGUGUGAACUAAACUGGCAAGGCCGCACUGGGAUGUUGACCAGCUGCUGAUGCAGAAAACGCCUGUUCCUUCUUUGAUUUGUGGCUCCUGGUCCUGGCCACCUCAUUGCUCCCCCUGUUCUCAUGAGGAGUCAGUGCCCUGGAACAAGGCCCCAGGAGUUUCUACCAUAAGGGACUCAACUUUACAGCUAGGAGAGACCACAAAACUAGUUUCUAGGAAUACUUUCCAUUUCAAGAGGACAACUUUAAUAAGGUCACUGAGGGCUGCUUCCUAUCUAUUGUCUGGGUGUUUCUCCAGCCUGGCAGCUGCUUCAGCAACAGAACUAAAGUCAGGCAGCCCCUAACGCUGAACGUAGGGCCCAGAACAAUCUACUAAAUGAAAGAUGGAGACUUGAUGUCAAUCCCACUAUAGGAGAUUUUCUUACCUUAUUUUUUGUUUUUUCCUUAGUCUUGCAGGAUUCCAAGGUAUUGUGUACAAAUGUUUUUCUUAGUUUUUCACACCUUUGAGCUUGAGGUGGUUGCAAAACAGCAGGUCUUAGGACAUGAUCGGAAUGUUUCACAGGACCUUAAAAAAACAGAAUUAAGGAGUCACUAUAUCUUUAGUGACAUACUUCUUCCUCCAGAUUUUUGACUAAUUUAAUGUCUAUUUUCUAAAGUCAUUAUUAAGUGAGGGAUUAAUGUUGACUGAUCAACGUCAAAAUAGCCAGUGAAUUGCUUAGUGCUUACUUCAGACUUAGUUUUUACCCACUACCUAUUCAUCUCGACCCUGGGACUUGGUUUACCAAAUUUGUUUUUUCACAUUUUGUCACUUGACCUACCUCCAGAUCCUAACACCCAUACAACAAAUUAAACUAUAAAUGGUAAAAUGUAAAAUUUCAGAGGCUCUUAUAAUAAACUACAUACCUUGUUCUGUACUGUUCAUAUCCACAUUCCUUUGCACAAGAGUUGAUGUCAUAAAAACAUUGUUUUUCUUCA